AGUCGUAACAAGGUCUCCGUUGGUGAACCAGCGGAGGGAUCAUUAUUACUCUAAAAAAAAUAAUAAUAAUUCUGCUAUUCAAAUCCUGAUUUUGCAUUAUUGCUUUUUCAGGUGUCAAAACUUUGUUUUGACGACAAUCUACGGAUUUAAAAAAAUUUAAACUUGCGAAGUUAGAAUUAACGAUAAAAUGAUAAAAUGCAAAUUGCAUUUUAGAAAAAGCGAAAAAUUUAAAAAAAACUUACGACAAUGGAUACCUCGGUUUUCC
rnacentral:misc_RNA from 1 species